CAAAAACAUCUUUUCUUGUUUAUAUUUGAAAUAUGGCCUGCCCAAUGAUUUUUUAAUGGCCGCGGUAUUUUGACCGUGCAAAGGUAGCAUAAUCAUUAGUUCAUUAAUUGUGGACUGGAAUGAAUGGUUGGACGAAAUAUUAACUGUCUCUUUAUUAUAUUUAUAAUUUAAUUUUUUAGUUAAAAAGCUUAAAUUUUAUUGUAGGACGAGAAGACCCUAUAGAUCUUUAAUUUAUUAAUUUUUAUUUGUUUUGGUUUAUUGUUAUUUAAUAUUUAUUUAAUUUUAGUUGGGGUGACUAGGAGAUAUAAUUAACUCUUUAUUAUUAUUUACAUUGAUAUUUGAUUAUUUGACCUUAUAUUAUUGUUAGAAGAUUUAGAUACCUUAGGGAUAACAGCGUAAUUUUUCUUGAGAGUUCUUAUCGACAGAAAAGAUUGCGACCUCGAUGUUGAAUUAAGAUUAUUAUUUGGUGUAGAAGCUAAAUUUAUAGGUCUGUUCGACCUUUAAAUUCUUACAUGAUCUGAGNNNNAAACCGGAGA
rnacentral:rRNA from 1 species